CCUGCCUCCAGGUUCCUGCCCUAUUUGAGUUCCUGUCCUGACUUCCUUCAGUUCCCCCUCGCUCUCCUGCCUCAGGGUGAGUUUUUAAGCACAAAAGCCGUACCAUGGUUUGGCGUACUUCAGUUAACAAGAACAGAGUUGUCCAGAAGUGGAGCUACAGGAGCAAAAAAGCAAGCUCUUUUUUAGGUAACUUAAGAGAGAUCAGCAGCCUUGGAAAUCACUGAGAAUGGACCCCUCCCUCAUAGUCGACAGCAUAUAAAACCAGGAACUGAAACCACAAGAUUCUGCUGGUUACAAGAAUGGAGUCUGAGUCAUAUUUUUGGCUGGGUCUAGACAUAGCAUUCUGAAUUAUGCAGCUAAUCAUAAGAUUACUGUCUAGACAAAGGCAUUCUGGUGCAGAACAAGGAUACACUCUAGUCUCCUCCUAUAGGAGUCAAUACAAAUGGGCCUGUCAGUCACCUGGGUAGGAAAACAUACUUCAAGGAAAUGUGUUGGAGAGACUUGGGAACUAUUAAUAAAGCAUACCUAAAAUA